GUAGUGCUCAGAUUUAUACACACAGCACUGUGAUGUUUCCCAUUUCUACACUGACCUAUGUACCAUAUACAUGGGUCUAAAUAUAGUGUAUUAAAAGAAAAGAACCCUAGAUCAUCGUUUGUGUUGUAUUUACCUAGAAAAUACCCCGUUACA